CCUACGGGUGGCAGCAGUGAGGAAUAUUGGUCAAUGGGCGCGAGCCUGAACCAGCCAAGUAGCGUGAAGGAUGACUGCCCUACGGGUUGUAAACUUCUUUUAUAAAGGAAUAAAGUGAGGCACGUGUGCCUUUUUGUAUGUACUUUAUGAAUAAGGAUCGGCUAACUCCGGGCCAGCAGCCGCGGUAAUACGGAGGAUCCGAGCGUUAUCCGGAUUUAUUGGGUUUAAAGGGAGCGUAGAUGGGUUGUUAAGUCAGUUGUGAAAGUUUGCGGCUUAACCGUGAAAUUGCCAUUGAUACUGGCGGUCUAGAGUACAGUUGAGGUAGGCGGAAUGCGUGGUGUAGCGGUGAAAUGCUUAGAGAUCACGAAGAACUCCGAUUGCGAAGGCAGCUUACUAAACUGCCACUGACAUUGAUGCUCGAAAGUGUGGGGAUCAAACAGGAUUAGAUACCCCAGUAGUC
rnacentral:rRNA from 1 species